CAGUAGUCGCGGUAAUACGAAGGGGGCUAGCGUUGCUCGGAAUGACUGGGCGUAAAGGGCGCGUAGGCGGCGGCCAAAGUCAGGCGUGAAAUUCCCGGGCUCAACCUGGGGGCUGCGUUUGAUACUUGGUUGCUUGAGUGGGGAAGAGGGUCGUGGAAUUCCCAGUGUAGAGGUGAAAUUCGUAGAUAUUGGGAAGAACACCGGUGGCGAAGGCGGCGACCUGGUCCUUGACUGACGCUGAGGCGCGAAAGCGUGGGGAGCAAACAGGAUUAGAUACCCCCGUAGUCCCUGUCUCUUAUAC
rnacentral:rRNA from 1 species